AUUCAGCAGAUGAGUCCCAAAUAGGAUGAAAUGCACAUUUUGGAU
rnacentral:hammerhead_ribozyme from 1 species